AGGGUUUGAUCCUGGCUCAGAACGUACGCUGGCGGCACGCCUAAUACAUGCAAGUCGAACGAAGUAGCAAUACUUAGUGGCAGACGGGUGAGUAACAUGUGGGUAUCUUCCCUUUGGUGAGGAAUAACACGAGGAAACUUGUGCUAAUACCUCAUAAGUCUUUACAGAGAAAGCUUUAUGCGCCAUUGGAUGAGCCCGCACUUGAUUAGUUUGUUGGUGGGGUAAUGGCCUACCAAGACAAUGAUCAAUAGCUGAUUUGAGAGGAUGAUCAGCCACAUUGGGACUGAGACACGGCCCAAACUCCUACGGGAGGCAGCAGUAGGGAAUCUUGCACAAUGGAGGAAACUCUGAUGCAGCGAUGCCGCGUGAGUGAAGAAGGCCUUUGGGUUGUAAAGCUCUUUCGUCGGGGAAGAAAAUGACUGUACCCGAAUAAGAAGGUCCGGCUAACUUCGUGCCAGCAGCCGCGGUAAUACGAAGGGACCUAGCGUAGUUCGGAAUUACUGGGCUUAAAGAGUUCGUAGGUGGUUAAAAAAGUUGGUGGUGAAAUCCCAGAGCUUAACUCUGGAACUGCCAUCAAAACUUUUUAGCUAGAGUAUGAUAGAGGAAAGCAGAAUUUCUAGUGUAGAGGUGAAAUUCGUAGAUAUUAGAAAGAAUACCAAUUGCGAAGGCAGCUUUCUGGAUC
rnacentral:rRNA from 1 species